UUCUGAGAAACCAUGGAGUUGAGUACUCUGGACCCGAUGGCCCACGGAGGAGCCCUUUGUAGAAAGUUUGAUAAAUCCAAGUGCAGUGACGCAUCGAAAACUUUAGUCUUUAAAAUGCUAAGGCCAUGAACAGCCCUGCUGAAGAAAAGCUCAUCCUACAGGGGAAGUGAUUUUAAAAUGGCCAGUCCUUUUUUUUCUGCCUUCCCCCCAACCCUCCUCUUACAUCAGCUGCCUCUUCUUUGUGGACGAAACAUUUAUUUACUUCACCUGCUCCUAGAAUGGAAAAUAAAACCAAUAAAAAUACUAAAUCGUCA